rnacentral:rRNA from 1 species
UACGGAGGGUGCAAACGUUGCUCGGAAUCAUUGGGCGUAAAGCGCACGUAGGCGGCUUGUUAAGUCGGGUGUGAAAUCCCUGGGCUCAACCUCGGAACUGCCUUUGAUACUGGGUAUCUUGAGUAUGGAAGAGGUAAGUGGAAUUGCGAGUGUAGAGGUGAAAUUCGUAGAUAUUCGCAGGAACACCAGUGGCGAAGGCGGCUUACUGGUCCAUUACUGACGCUGAGGUGCGAAAGCGUGGGGAGCAAACAGG